AUGACACAAAUCUCAAAAAUGUUUGGUACCAAACCUCUUGUAUCUGCAAUGGCCUCAAUUCUGCUAAUGCGCACUAUCACGAAUCAACUCAUUCCCCAUGAGCUUCGAAAUUUUUUUCAAUCAGGAAUUCAUCAUCUUUCUCGCCAAUUUUCGGCGCGAUUCACUAUAGUCAUUGAAGAAUUUCAAGGGAUGGCAAGAAACCAAGUUUUCGAGGCGGCAGAAGCCUAUCUUGGAACUAAAGCAACUGUCUCAGCUGAGAGAGUUAAGGUAUUAGGGUAA